UGGGGAAUAUUGCACAAUGGAGGGAACUCUGAUGCAGCGACGCCGCGUGAGUGAUGAAGGAAUUCGUUUCGUAAAACUCUGUUCUAUGGGAAGAAAAGGACUGUACCAUAGGAGAAAGCUCCGGCUAAAUACGUGCCAGCAGCCGCGGUAAUACGUAUGGAGCGAGCGUUGUCCGGAAUUAUUGGGCGUAAAGGGUGCGCAGGCGGCUUUACAAGUUGGAUGUGAAAUAUUGUGGCUCAACCACAAACGUGCAUCCAAAACUGCAAAGCUUGAGUUAAGGAGAGGUAAGUGGAAUUCCUGGUGUAGCGGUGGAAUUCGUAGAUAUCAGGAGGAAUACCGGUGGCGAAGGCGACUUACUGGACUUAAACUGACGCUCAGGCACGAAAGCGUGGGGAGCAAACAGG
rnacentral:rRNA from 1 species